UCCCUGGAGGACUAGUGGUUAGGCCAUGGUGCUCUCUUUGCUGCAGCCCGGGUUCGAUUCCUGGCCAGGGAA